rnacentral:misc_RNA from 1 species
ACAGUAAAGUCUCAGAGGCAGCAGUACAUUUCAGCUGUCCAAUAAAGUGUGUAUUUUUUUUUCCCAAUAUUGGCCUUUCAUAGUAUAAUCGUAAAAGGAGGUUCAACUUACAUAUAACAAUUCAAAUGGAUCAGUUGGAAACUAUCCAAAAUAGACUUAGUCAAUGGCUCAAUGCAAUCCUAGACAUGGCAUGGUUAGGUUUAGGGCAAUGGAAGGUAACCAAAUAAAUAUCCAUAGUUCCAUAUACCAUCAUGAAGGAAUUUUCUUGUGUCUCAUUAUCUGGUAUUGCUAAUGAGUUAACACUUCAUCCUAAUGUGCAGACAGAUUUCUAUACAACCCCCUAACACAGCUAAUGAGAAAUUAAGAGUUCCAUACUUUGUUCAAGUGUAAGAACUUACCUGUAGCUGUAUAUGGUUAGGUUUUCCCCUUUUUCCUAAAUUAUCACAAUUCAUCUGAAUAAAUUGCAGGAGUAAAGUUGUGUACAUCAAUCCUCCCCAAAGCCCACAAGUGUGAG